rnacentral:rRNA from 1 species
AUUGAACGCUGGCGGCAGGCCUAACACAUGCAAGUCGAACGAGUGGCGGACGUGUGAGUAAUGUAUGGGAAACUACCUGAUGGAGGGGGAAAACUACUGGAAAGGGUAGCUAAUACCGCAUACCAUGAGAGGUUCCCAGAGGGGAUUAGCUAGUUGGGGGGGUAACGGCUCACCAAGGCGACGAUCCCUAGCUGGUCUAAGAGGAUGACCAGCCACACUGGAACUGAGACACGGUCCAGACUCCUACGGGAUGCAGCAGUGGGGAAGAUUGCACAAUGGGCGCAAGCCGGAUGCAGCCAUGCCGCGUGUAUGAAGAAGGCCUUCGGGUUGUAAAGUACUUUCAGCGGGGAGGCGUUACCCGCAGAAGAAGCACCGGCUAACUCCGUGCCAGCAGCCGCGGUAAUAC